AUUGAACGCUGGCGGCAUGCUUUACACAUGCAAGUCGAACGGCAGCGCGGGCUUCGGCCUGGCGGCGAGUGGCGAACGGGUGAGUAAUGCAUCGGAACGUGCCCAGUAGUGGGGGAUAGCCCGGCGAAAGCCGGAUUAAUACCGCAUACGACCUGAGGGUGAAAGCGGGGGACCGAAAGGCCUCGCGCUAUUGGAGCGGCCGAUGUCGGAUUAGCUAGUUGGUGGGGUAAAGGCUUACCAAGGCGACGAUCCGUAGCUGGUCUGAGAGGACGACCAGCCACCCUGGGACUGAGACACGGCCCAGACUCCUACGGGAGGCAGCAGUGGGGAAUUUUGGACAAUGGGGGCAACCCUGAUCCAGCCAUGCCGCGUGCGGGAAGAAGGCCUUCGGGUUGUAAACCGCUUUUGUUCGGGAAGAAAUCCUCUGGGCUAAUACCCCGGGGGGAUGACGGUACCGGAAGAAUAAGCACCGGCUAACUACGUG
rnacentral:rRNA from 1 species